rnacentral:sRNA from 1 species
GCAGUGAGGGCCCCGCCGCUCCCCCAGCAGUCGCCUCCCAAGUUCGCGGAACGCAAAUGACCGGCUCCCUCUGGACUGGGUGACACGACUGAUCCCAAGCAGUCGUUUGUAAACUGAGUUUCUGUAAAACAAUUUUAUUUUUCAUGUGUGACUGUAGCGGGGUAUGAUUUGAACUUUGUUUUCCGUCCCCCAGCCCGGAUUCUCUGUCUUCUCCUGUACAGCCGUUCCGUUUUCUUACCUUCUUACCUCGUCUCCGUCACCGAGGCCCUCAGCCCUGAACACUAGGACUGGGCAGUUUCCCUAUUGAUUCCUGAACCUGGAACUUAAGACAUCUUCCGAGGGCCCCCCUCGCCACACCCUCUAGCUGAUCGACUCACAAAUACCUGUGAUUUCUCUCCCCGUCUCCACCUCCAGACCCAGGGGCUGAUGAUGAUGAGGAAAUCACCUACGAGAAUGUUCAAGUGCCCGCAGUCCUAGGGGUGCCCUCAAGCUUGGCUUCUUCUGUACUAGGGGACAAAGCAGCGGUCAAGUCGGAGCAGCCAACUGCGUCCUGGAGAGCCGUGACGUCACCAGCUGUCGGGCGGAUUCUCCCCUGCCGCACAGCCUGCCUGCGAUACCUCCUGCUCGGCCUGCUCCUCAUCUGCCUGCUGUUAGGAGUGGCCGCCAUCUGCCUGGGAGUGC